UAUUAUAGAAACUCGCUUUACUCCCCGUGUGAUAUCUCUUUUUACAGCCAUUUUGGUGGUCUAAUUUGCAUAAUUGACGCUAGAUGAAAUUUCAAUUUCUGUUCGUUUGUCCUCUGAUAAAUAGUUUAAAUCAAUUUGAAACCAAAAUGGGAUUCAUAUCCUCGCUUGAAAUUGUAUUUUCUUGUACGAAUCUCUUGAGUUCGAGUAUCAGCUAUCAAAACAUACACUGGCGUAUGUCACUUGGAAAUGUAUAAAUAUACAUUGAACUGUUUAUUUGUAGUCGCAAGCUGGGAUAAUCAUUACAAAAUAUUUGCGCUAAUGGUGCCUACCACUUAGUCUAAAACAUUUUCGGAAGUAUUAAAGUUUUAAUCAAUUCUGGCGAUUUAGCGCAGUCAAAAGACGAAAGCGUGGUUAUUCUAGCGCAAGGCCUGAGCCAAUGAGUACUCGUAGAAAGAGUAACGAAAACAGCAAUUUGUGCGCAUGUGCCAGAAGAACCCUUUCUUUAAAAGGUCAAGCUUUAAACAAAGAGAUAGGAAGCUCGGGGCAUGUUCAAUAAUUUUACAGUCUGCCAGAAAUCUAUAGGGGGCCGGUUUAUCGCGAGCAGUAAUCAUUUAUGUGUGACAAUUGCUUCAAAAUUCAUCACAAUUAAAGGAGAGAAGCCGCGUCGCGAGAAUACAGAUCUACAAAGAAAAGAAAACCUUCUAAUCAUGUCUUUAAGGUGGAGUUUAGGUUUCUGUGUCUGGUUUCUGCUACUUGCUGAUUGUCAAAUGGACAGUGGUGAUUGGGACGACUCGGAUAUUGCAGAUACUUUGGGACAACGCAAUGAGACAAAUCUUCCCGCGACAGACACGAUCACAAAGAAUGCAUCGGAUUUUCACUACGUUGCGCGUGAUGAUCACGAGGUCAUCCACAAUUUGGAACGCGAGUUGAGAAGAAAAUCUCGAAAGCGCGGGACAAAGUUUUGCUGGAAAAGAUGCCUUCGCUCGUUGAAAUGUUUCGAGCAAAUGAAGAACAGACCAAAAACGGAGACAGGAAAAUGCGCUGUUUGUGUCACUAAAUGUUCAAACAUUACUUCGACACAACCCCCUAAUGUUGGACGCUAGUUAGAGCGCAAAGUGUAUGUAUGAGGAAAGCGAUAAUUCGUCUAAACUGAUAUCGUCGUAAUAUGACAACAGAGCACGAACUCUGUAAGUGAACAUAAGGAAAAAAGCAUAUACUAUAUAUUACAAAGUAAUAGCUAUAAUAUAACAUUAUAUUAUACAAUUAUGGUAACAAUUAUAGUAAUUUCAGCUACAAAUAUAGUAAUAUUUGUAACAAUUAGAGUAAUUACGGU